rnacentral:rRNA from 1 species
UACGUAGGGGGCUAGCGUUGUCCGGAAUCAUUGGGCGUAAAGAGCGUGUAGGCGGCCCGGUAAGUCCGCUGUGAAAGUCGGGGGCUCAACCCUCGAAUGCCGGUGGAUACUGUCGGGCUAGAGUCCGGAAGAGGUGAGUGGAAUUCCGAGUGUAGAGGUGAAAUUCGUAGAUAUUCGGAGGAACACCAGUGGCGAAGGCGGCUCACUGGUCCGGUACUGACGCUGAGGUGCGAAAGCGUGGGGAGCAAACAGG